AGCAUUAUACAGCGAAACUGCGAAUGGCUCAUUAAAUCAGUUAUCGUUUAUUUGAUAGUACCUUACUACUUGGAUAACCGUGGUAAUUCUAGAGCUAAUACAUGCUAAAAACCCCGACUCACGAAGGGGUGUAUUUAUUAGAUUAAAAACCAAUGCCCUUCGGGGCUCUUUGGUGAUUCAUAAUAACUUUUCGAAUCGCAUGGCCUUGCGCCGGCGAUGGUUCAUUCAAAUUUCUGCCCUAUCAACUUUCGAUGGCAGGGUCUUGGCCUGCCAUGGUUACAACGGGUAACGGAGGGUUAGGGCUCGACCCCGGAGAAGGAGCCUGAGAAACGGCUACUACAUCCAAGGAAGGCAGCAGGCGCGCAAAUUACCCAAUCCCGAUUCGGGGAGGUAGUGACAAUAAAUACUGAUACAGGGCUCUUUUGGGUCUUGUAAUUGGAAUGAGUACAAUUUAAAUCCCUUAACGAGGAACAAUUGGAGGGCAAGUCUGGUGCCAGCAGCCGCGGUAAUUCCAGCUCCAAUAGCGUAUAUUAAAGUUGUUGCAGUUAAAAAGCUCGUAGUUGAACCUUGGGCCUGGCUGGCCGGUCCGCCUCACCGCGUGCACUGGUUCGGCCGGGCCUUUCCCUCUGGGGAACCUCAUGGUCUUCACUGAUCGUGAUGGGGAACCAGGACUUUUACUGUGAAAAAAUUAGAGUGUUCAAAGCAGGCCUAUGCUCGAAUACAUUAGCAUGGAAUAAUAAAAUAGGACGUGUGGUUCUAUUUUGUUGGUUUCUAGGACCGCCGUAAUGAUUAAUAGGGACAGUCGGGGGCAUCAGUAUUCAAUUGUCAGAGGUGAAAUUCUUGGAUUUAUUGAAGACUAACUACUGCGAAAGCAUUUGCCAAGGAUGUUUUCAUUAAUCAGGAACGAAAGUUAGGGGAUCGAAGACGAUCAGAUACCGUCGUAGUCUUAACCAUAAACUAUGCCGACUAGGGAUCGGACGGUGUUACUUAUUGACCCGUUCGGCACCUUACGAGAAAUCAAAGUCUUUGGG
rnacentral:rRNA from 1 species